rnacentral:rRNA from 1 species
GGCGGUAAUACCGGAUGAAGUCGAAAGACCAAAGAUUUAUCGGCACUUGAGCGACCUAUCUCCUAUCAGCUUGUUGGUGAGGUAACGGCUCACCAAGGCUACGACGGGUAGCGGGACUGAGAGGUUGGCCCGCCACAUCGGGACUGAGACACUGCCCGGACCUCCACGGAGGGCUGCAGUAACGGAUAUUGGGCAAUGGGCGAAAGCCUGACCCAGCAAUGCCGCGUGUAGGAGGAAGCCCCUCGGGGUGUAAACUACUGUCAGGGGUCAGAAAGCUAACUUCGGUUAGUUGAUCAGCCCCAGAGGAAGUCACGGCUAACUUCGUGCCAGCAGCCGCGGUAAGACGAAGGUGGCAAGCGUUGUUCGGAAUCACUGGGCUUAAAGGGCACGCAGGCGGAAUAGAUAGUGUCGUGUGAAAUCCCCGGCUUAACCGGGGAAUUGCUCGGCAAACUGCUAUUCUUGAGGCAAGUAAGGGUAUGUGGAACUCUUGGUGGAGCGGUGGAAUGCGUAGAUAUCAAGAGGAACGCCGAAGGUGAAGACAGCAUACUGGGCUUGUCCUGACGCUGAGGUGCGAAAGCGUGGGGAGCGAACGGGAUUAGAUACCCCGGUAGUCCACGCCGUAAACGAUGUCUACUAGUUUGUGGGUGUUCUGACGCAAACACAGCCGAAGCAAAAGUGUUAAGUAGACCGCCUGGGGAGUACGGCCGCAAGGCUAAAACUCAAAGGAAUUGACGGGGGCUCACACAAGCGGUGGAGCAUGUGGAUUAAUUCGAAGCAACGCGCAGAACCUUACAUGGGUUUGACAUGCUUGGAUGCAUGCCUGGAAACAGGUUAGGUUGCCCUUCGGGGUGAAACUUGCACAGGUGCUGCAUGGCUGUCGUCAGCUCGUGUCGUGAGAUGUCGGGUUAAGUCCUUUAACGAGCGAAACCCUUGCCGUUAGUUGCCAGCGGGUAAUGCCGGGGACUCUAACGGGACUGCCGGUGUCAAACCGGAGGAAGCCGGGGAUGACGUCAAGUCCUCAUGGCCUUUAUGCCCAGGGCCUCACACGUGCUACAAUGGCGAUCACAGAGGUACGCAAGACCGCGAGCUGGAGCAAAGCCCAAAAAGGUCGCCCCAGUUCGGAUUGCAGGCUG